rnacentral:rRNA from 1 species
AACGAACGUUGGCGGCGUGCCUAACACAUGCAAGUCGAGCGCGGGCAGGACUUCGGUCCUGUUCCGAGCGGCGCACGGGUGAGUAACACGUGAGUAACCUGCCUCGAAGUUUGGGAUAACCGCCCGAAAGGGUGGCUAAUACCGGAUAAGCCCCCACUGGCACAGGCCAGAGAGGGAAAAGCCUUGGCGCUUCGAGAUGGGCUCGCGUCCCAUUAGCUAGUUGGUGAGGUAACGGCUCACCAAGGCGAAGAUGGGUAGCUGGUCUGAGAGGAUGAUCAGCCACACUGGAACUGAGACACGGCCCAGACUCCUACGGGAGGCAGCAGUGGGGAAUAUUGGACAAUGGGGGAAACCCUGAUCCAGCAAUGCCGCGUGCGUGAAGAAGGCCUUAGGGUUGUAAAGCGACUUUCACCUGUGAUGAUGAUGACAGUAGCAGGAGAAGAAGCCCCGGNUAACUCCGUGCCAGCAGCCGCGGUAAAGUCAC